GCCAGUGUAGCUCAGUGGUAGAGCAGCUGUUUCGUAAACAGCAGGUCAUCGGUUCGAUCCCGAUUACUGGCUCCA
rnacentral:tRNA from 1 species